rnacentral:rRNA from 1 species
GACGAACGCUGGCGGCGUGCUUAACACAUGCAAGUCGAACGGAAAGGCCCUGCUUUUGUGGGGUGCUCGAGUGGCGAACGGGUGAGUAACACGUGAGUAACCUGCCCUUGACUUUGGGAUAACUUCAGGAAACUGGGGCUAAUACCGGAUAGGAGCUCCUGCUGCAUGGUGGGGGUUGGAAAGUUUCGGCGGUUGGGGAUGGACUCGCGGCUUAUCAGCUUGUUGGUGGGGUAGUGGCUUACCAAGGCUUUGACGGGUAGCCGGCCUGAGAGGGUGACCGGCCACAAUGGGACUGAGAUACGGCCCAGACUCCUACGGGAGGCAGCAGUGGGGAAUAUGGCGCAAUGGGCGGGAGCCUGAUGCAGCAACGCCGCGUGCGGGAUGACGGCCUUCGGGUUGUAAACCGCUGUCGCCUGUGACGAAGCGUGAGUGACGGUAAUGGGUAAAGAAGCACCGGCUAACUACGUG